UAGUUUGGCUCUUGAGUUUACGGUUUCAUAAUUGCAGUAAAGAGUGAAACAAUGAGUGGUUCAUCAUCGCAAGCAUCCAAGUGAAACUGUUUAUGUUGCCGUGGGAAGGAUGUUAAUAAAUGCAAUCGACUCUGUUAUGGGCAUUACAAAAUUUUCAUGGGCACAAGUUUUGCAUUCUUCAUGUUCAUCAGCUUGUCAGAGUUAUCACUUUGAGGAGCAGGCUUGAGGAACAUGGAACCAGGAACUUGAAAGGGAAACUGUGAAAAAGUUCCUGGAUGAUUACAUUAAUAUAUGUCACCAUGCUGAGGUGUACGCUGAAAAACUAUAUGUUGAUGGUGAUACUGGG